CAGGAACAAAAUUUGUUCUUUGUCCAUCAUACCAAAUACAUAUCAAUCUUAUUUCAAUAAUCUCGUUUCAUAUUUCUUUUGUCUUGUAUACCAUUCAUGUGCUGCCACUUGUUCGUAUAAAAUACCAUCCUUCACAGUCAUUCGCAUAGUUAUCCAGAUUAACCCAGAAACAUUUAAAAAAAAUAUUGUAAAUGGAUGCAUUUAAAAAUCGAAAGCAAAUCUGGACUUGAUUACUAGCUGUAAAUUCGAUGUUUCUUCUUCCUCAAAACGCCAGCGUUUUAGAAGUUCUCACACGUGUCAACAUCUCCUUUGCCUUGGAAAUCCAUCUGUUCACUUCCCCAGGCAUGAUCCCAACAUCUCCUUUGCCAUGGAAAUCCAUCUGCUUUCCUUGUGUGUGAGAGAGAGACGCUCCUGCUUCACCUAAUUUCAUAGUUGUUACAAAGUGUAUCUGUUGUUCUGGUCAAUGAAAAUUCUGACCACAAAGAAAAGGAAAAACAAAACGAUGAGGCUCUAAAGCCUUUUGUUUUUUC
rnacentral:lncRNA from 1 species